rnacentral:sRNA from 1 species
AAGGAUGAGAAGCUUCGACUAAGGUUCGAUUCGAGCGCAGCGAGACGUUGCCGCAGGCAAACCCGAAGGGCGAAGCGCGCAGCGCUGAGUCAUCCUU